UACGUAGGGGGCAAGCGUUGUCCGGAAUCAUUGGGCGUAAAGCGCGUGUAGGCGGCUUGGUAAGUCUGCUCUGAAAGCCCGGGGCUCAACCCUGGGAGGCGGGUGGAUACUGCUGAGCUCGAGUCCGGAAGAGGCGAGUGGAAUUCCUGGUGUAGCGGUGAAAUGCGCAGAUAUCAGGAGGAACACCGAUGGCGAAGGCAGGUCUCUGGGCCACUACUGACGCUGAGAAGCGAAAGCAUGGGGAGCGAACAGG
rnacentral:rRNA from 1 species